CUGAUCUCCAGGGUGAUCUCCAUACACCCUGCCUGCAUGUAGUUCCAGUCCUGCAUGCCACCUAAAGGAACAGAAGAGAAAAACAUGUAUACAAAAUUGCACAGGAGAAUCAUUAGGACCUCAGGUCUUGUAAAGAGUUGUGCAGUUCAGAAAUUUUCCUCUGAAAUGACUUAAAGAAUUACCAGUUACUGGAUACCACAGAGCACCAUUAGUUAUACCCUCUGGGAAUCGGUCUCCACAAUGGCUGCCAGAGGACAUGUUACUGUGUUUGUAGGAAUAUGUCUUAGAUAACGAAAUAAAUGUAUCAUCAUCAGGGCAGGUCACAUACUUAGGAAUACCAUUGGCUGAAAAAAAGUUAAAAUUGAGUUACUUGCCAAUUGACUCUCAUGAUAGUCACAGAUUACAGUCCUUCACUUCCUACCAUUUGGGUAAUUAUCAAAGGGAUAGUUGGCAACCAGUGUUCCUCCAUGGAGGUUAGCCGAGAGGACAAAUCGAUACU